rnacentral:rRNA from 1 species
AGUGAACGCUGGCGGCAGGCCUAACACAUGCAAGUCGAGCGGCAGCGCGGGGGCAACCCUGGCGGCGAGCGGCGGACGGGUGAGGAAUUCGUCGGAAUCUGCCUUUUUGUGGGGGAUAACGUAGGGAAACUUACGCUAAUACCGCAUACGUCCUACGGGAGAAAGUGGGGGACCGCAAGGCCUCACGCAGAAAGAUGAGCCGACGACCGAUUAGCUAGUUGGUGGGGUAAAGGCCCACCAAGGCGACGAUCGGUAGCUGGUCUGAGAGGAUGAUCAGCCACACUGGGACUGAGACACGGCCCAGACUCCUACGGGAGGCAGCAGUGGGGAAUAUUGGACAAUGGGCGAAAGCCUGAUCCAGCCAUGCCGCGUGUGUGAAGAAGGCCUUCGGGUUGUAAAGCACUUUUGUCCGGAAAGAAAUGCAGGGAGCUAAUACCUUCGGGGGAUGACGGUACCGGAAGAAUAAGCACCGGCUAACUUCGUG